CUACGGGGGGCUGCAGUGAGGGAUAUUGCACAAUGGGGGGAACCCUGAUGCAGCAACGCCGCGUGGAGGAUGACGCAUUUCGGUGUGUAAACUCCUUUUAUAUGUCAAGAAAAUGACGGUAGCAUAUGAAUAAGCACCGGCUAACUCCGUGCCAGCAGCCGCGGUAAUACGGAGGGUGCAAGCGUUACUCGGAAUCACUGGACGUAAAGGACGCGUAGGCGGGUUGGAAAGUCAGGUGUGAAAUCCUACAGCUUAACUGCGAACUGCACUUGAAACUUCUAAUCUAGAGUAUGGGAGGGGGGGAUGGAAUUAGUGGUGUAGGGGUAAAAUCCGUAGAUAACACUAGGAAUACCUAAAGCGAAGGCGAUCUCCUGGAACAUUACUGACGCUAAGGCGUGAAAGCGUGGGGAGCAAACAGGAUUAGAUACCCGUGUAGUC
rnacentral:rRNA from 1 species